AAGAGUGGGGCCAGAGUCAACAAUUUCUGAUGGGUAGUUUGGGAGAGCCAUGGAUUUUCAAGCCUGCAGUGGCUGUUCUGGGACAUCCUUAAUCUCAUUCUGAGUGGAGAGGAAGGGCCAGCAGGAACAAAGUGGUGACUAAUUAGGUGUCCUUCUCUGGGUAGGGUGUUGCUGCACUUCAUCCUAGUGGAUUCCAUCAGUUUCCAUGGGAAUCUGAUGCCAAUAAGAAGGGAGGGAAAGUCCCCUGGCCAAGCACCAAAGUCUCAGACAUUCAGAUACUUUGGUCCUGGACACAUGUGAUCAGGACUUAGUACUGCUAAGCUCUAGGGACAAUAGGACUUACCAGCAUCACAUCAGAUAUGAGCUGACACUGUCCUCCAAAUCUACGUGGCUGGGCUAUCUUAUGCCUUCCAGGGCCAGGGGGACUGCAUUAGAGAGGGAGACACAUGCCUAGCCAUGGUGGUUGAGGACAGAUACAUCGGUCAUGGGUACCAAUUUGAGGAUAAUUGCCCUACUCUCUGGGGCCCUCAGUGUGUCCCUAGCAUUUCCUCUUCCUCGGACUUCCUCUUGGGACUGGAAUGGAUUCUCCUGGCCCUAUGCCAUUCAAGUGUACAAGUUCACUUUGCUUUAUCUUCCUGCAGGGACUACUGGGAAGUCACCAACCCAAACCUCCAACUACACUGAGCAGGAGCAGCAGAUGACAAAGUUGGAGAAACUCACCCUUCAGCUACAGAGUACAACAUACGAGCAAAUUGAACUGCAUGGAAUCCUGGGCAGUUAUAUAGACAAGGAUUUGCAGAAUAGGCUGAAUUCUUUUGAGAUGCUGAAAAAGGAGCAUAAGCAGGUGAUGUCGGACUUGCAGAAAAUGCCCAUGGAGGUCAGUGACGGUGUGAACAAGGUCAAACAGCUGAUUGAGGAGAAUGUAUCCUACAGUUACCUCCACGACCAGGUCCUCCGAGAUUGCACUGAGCUGAAGGAAAAUAUACAUGUUUUGAGACUGAAGAACAGACUGCUGUGGGAGGAGCAGACUGAGCUACAAGAGUCCUGUGAGGAGCUGAAGAGGCUCUUGAAGGAGGCUCAUGAGGUCAUCUGUGACCCUUCUGCUGAGCAGCAGCAGGAGCAAGAGAGCCUGGAUGAAAGACUGAAGGACCUGCUGAAGCAGAAGGAGCUGGUCGCCCAGCAAGAGGACUUGGCAGAAAAGCUGCAACAUCACUUCAAUGUGUCUGAGAUGAGGUUAGACCAUCUCCAAUCUGACUUUGAACAGGUCACAGCCCAGGAUGAGAGCCUCCUGCAGACAGAGCUGCUGCAGCAGGAGCACUAAGUCUCACAGAUCUUGGGAGAACUGAGGAGGCCAAAGAAACCACAGAUGCCUUGAACCUAUGACAUUCUAUACUCUGAAAUCAAGGCCUCCUCUUCAGAAGACACUCCUUUAGAGCUGUGAACUCAAAAGCUUCCCAAGGGGCACAAAGUUUGCUCUAGGAAAUGUCUCAUUGUUAGUCUCAGAGAAGGCUUGACCUACAAAUCCUGAAGGAGGCAUGGCUGUACUAGCUUUGAGAAGGCUUUUCACAAUAGCUGACUGCCUUCCUACCAUGUUUGCAAGGCCAGCCACAGGCUGUAGGUCUGUGCUGCUAAAUGUGCAGCAAGAGAAUGCUGCUGACCUUAAGGUUUUGUUUUGUUUUUGGUUGAGUUUUGUUUGCUUUGGUUUGCUUUGCUUUUCUUUGUUAUAGAUUGAGCU